rnacentral:rRNA from 1 species
AUCAUGGCUCAGAAUCAACGCUGGCGGCGUGCCUCAGAACAUGCAAGUACGAACGAUUAAAGUACUCUCUUCGGAGAGUGUAUAGAGGUGGCGCACGGGUGAGUAACACGUAAGUAAUCUACCCUCGAGUGGGGAAUAACAACCGGAAACGGUUGCUAAUACCGCAUAAUGCAGCGGCACCGCAAGGUGACAGUUGUUAAAGAUUUAUCGCUUGAGGAGGAGCUUGCGGCAGAUUAGCUAGUUGGUAGGGUAACGGCUUACCAAGGCUACGAUCUGUAACCGGUCUAAGAGGACGGUCGGUCACACUGACACUGAAUAACGGGUCAGACUCCUACGGGAGGCAGCAGUCGGGAAUUUUGGGCAAUGGGCGAAAGCCUGACCCAGCAACGCCGCGUGAAGGAUGAAGUAUUUCGGUAUGUAAACUUCGAAAGAAUAGGAAGAAUUAAUGACGGUACUAUUUAUAAGGUCCGGCUAACUACGUG